UACGGGGGGGGCAAGCGUUGUUCGGAAUUACGGGGCGUAAAGGGCGCGUAGGCGGUUGGAUAAGUCAGCUGUGAAAACCACGGGCUUAACUCGUGGCCUGCAGUUGAGACUGUCUGGCUUGAGUGUGGGAGAGGAGAGUGGAAUUCCUGGUGUAGCGGUGAAAUGCGUAGAUAUCAGGAGGAACACCGGUGGCGAAGGCGGCUCUCUGGACCACAACUGACGCUGAGGCGCGAAAGCUAGGGGAGCAAACAGG
rnacentral:rRNA from 1 species